GACGAACGCUGGCGGCGUGCCUAAUACAUGCAAGUAGAACGCAGUUGCGAACGGAUGAGUAACGCGUAGGUAACUGCCUCAUAGCGGGGGGUAACUAUUGGGAACGUUAGCUCAUACCGCAUACUGUGAGAUGGACCUGCGUUGUGUUAGCUAGUUGGUGAGGUAAACGCUCACCAAGGCGUAGAUACAUAGCCUACCUGUGACGGUGGUCGGCCAAACGGGGACUGGGGAACGGGCCAGACUCCUACGGGAGGCAGCAAGAGGGGAACUUCGGCAAAGGGGGGAAGGCUGACCGAGCAACGGCGCGGGAGUGGAGAAGGUUUUCGGAUCUUAAAGCUCUUUUGUUAGAGAAGCGGUAACUAACGAGAAAGGGACGGCUAACUACGUGCCAGCCGCCGCGGUAAUUC
rnacentral:rRNA from 1 species